AUUAGUUUUCACUACGUUCGGGUGCCCAAAUAUGUGCGGUCGUCGGUACCAACAUGCUAGCAGCUUAAUGAGGCAUUUGAAGUACGAGUGUGGACAAGAGAAACAGUUUAAAUGUUCUGAAUGUGAUAAGUGUUGUUAUCAGAAGAGUAAUUUGAAAACACAUAUUUUCCAGGAUUCGGACAUUCCUCGAACCAUACGGACACAUUUUCGAACAGCAAUACGAGACGUAGAUCUACAAGCAAUAAAGGUGGAUCCAGUGAAAUGUCUUUCCCUUGUCCUAACAACUGUGGUAAAGUUUACCAGAAAAAGGGCAGUGCUAUGCUCCAUGUCAAGUACGAAUGUGGUAAAGAUCCUCAGUUCGAAUGUCGAUACUGCCAGAAGAAAUUCAAAAGGCCUGAUUCGUUGAGGACCCAUAUGGGUAUUGUUCAUAAAGUGGUUCUUUGAACAAAUAUAUUUCGCAGUUUGAAUUUAAAUAGCAUUUCAUGUACUUACUGUUUUAUAAUGUUAUUUGUUUUUUUUUUUUUUUUUUUUUCAAUGCAUUUUUUUAAGGGUAAGAAUGAUACAUUUUAAGGGGUUGUAUCAUGUUGAUCAAUUUUUUUAAUAUUUUUUUUUUAAGAACAUUCCUAUUCCUAUACUUUCUGUACUUAAUAGUAAUAAUCGAUUUAGUUAUUUAAGUUUUAAUGUGCAUAGCACAUUCUACUUAUGCAUUUUUCAAAUUGUUAUUGCAGAAGCCAAGUAUCAAGAGUUUUGUGAUUUUUUUCCUUGUGUGCAAUAAAUACACGUUAUACUGUUUCUA